UUGAUGGAGAGUUUGAUCCUGGCUCAGAACGAACGUUGGCGGCGUGGAUUAGGCAUGCAAGUCGAGCGGGAUUCCAUUUUUUCAAUUCUUCGGAAGAGAAGUUAUGGAUGAGAGCGGCGAACGGGUGAGUAAUAUAUGGGUAAUUUGCCUCUUUGUUCGGGAUAGCCAUCGGAAACGAUGAUUAAUACCGGAUGUGUUCAGGUGCUGCAUGGCACCUUAUAUAAAGGCGGGGAUUCUUCGGAACCUGUCGCAAGGAGAUAAGCCCAUAUCCUAUCAGCUUGUUGGUGAGGUAACGGCUCACCAAGGCUUACGGGUAGCGGGUCUGAGAGGAUGAUCCGCCACACUGGAACUGAGACACGGUCCAGACUCCUACGGGAGGCUGCAGUCGAGAAUCAUUGUCAAUGCACGAAAGUGUGAACAUGCGACGCCGCGUGGAGGAAGACGGCCUUUGGGUUGUAAACUCCUGUCAGCAGGGAGGAAGGAUGGUUUCCCUAAUACGGAGGCCAUUUGACAGUACCUGCAGAGGAAGUCACGGCUAACUCUGUGCCAGCAGCCGCGGUAAUACAGAGGUGGCGAACGUUGUUCGGAUUUACUGGGCGUAAAGGGUCCGCAGGCGGUCCUGUGUGUCGGAUGUGAAAGCCCACGGCUCAACCGUGGAAUUGCAUUCGAAACUGCAGGACUAGAGUACUGGAGGGGAGAAGGGAACACUUGGUGUAGCGGUGAAAUGCGUAGAUAUCAAGUGGAACACCGGCGGCGAAGGCGCUUCUCUGGACAGAUACUGACGCUCAUGGACGAAAGUUAGGGUAGCGAAAGGGAUUAGAUACCCCUGUAGUCCUAACCGUAAACGGUGUGCGCUAGGCGUGGGUGGCUUUACCCCCAUCCGUGCCUGAGCUAACGCAUUAAGCGCACCGCCUGGGGAGUACGGUCGCAAGAUUAAAACUCAAAGGAAUUGACGGGGACCCGCACAAGCGGUGGAGCAUGCGGCUUAAUUCGAUGCAACGCGAAGAACCUUACCUGGGCUUGACAUUCAGCUGCAUACGACCCGAAAGGGACGUAGCCUUCGAGGGUGCUGAACAGGUGCUGCAUGGCUGUCGUCAGCUCGUGCCGUGAGGUGUUGGGUUAAGUCCCGCAACGAGCGCAACCCCUGUGUUUAGUUGCCAUCAGUUCGGCUGGGAACUCUAAACAGACUGCCUGUGAAAGCAGGAGGAAGGUGGGGAUGACGUCAAGUCAGUAUGGUCCUUAUGUCCAGGGCUGCACGCGUGCUACAAUGGGAUGUACAAUGGGAAGCUAAGCGGCGACGUGGAGCAAAUCCUCAAAACAUCCCCCAGUUCGGAUCGUAGUCUGAAACUCGACUGCGUGAAGUUGGAAUCGCUAGUAAAGGCGUAUCAGCUACGACGCCUUGAAUACGUUCCCGGGUCUUGUACACACCGCCCGUCACAUCAUGGAAGUCAGUUGCACCCGAAGUCGUUGAUCCAACCCGUCAAGGGAGGAAGGCGCCUAAGGUGUGAUUGAUAACUGGGAUGAAGUCGUAACAAGGUAGCCGUUGGGGAACCAGUGGCUGGAUCACCUCCUUUCUAAGGAG
rnacentral:rRNA from 1 species